ACAGCAGCCGCCACGGUAAUACGAAGGGGGCUAGCGUUGUUCGGAAUUACUGGGCGUAAAGCGCACGUAGGCGGAUAUUUAAGUCAGGGGUGAAAUCCCGCAGCUCAACUGCGGAACUGCCUUUGAUACUGGGUAUCUUGAGUAUGGAAGAGGUUAGUGGAAUUGCGAGUGUAGAGGCGAAAUUCGUAGAUAUUCGCAGGAACACCAGUGGCGAAGGCGGCUAACUGGUCCAUAACUGACGCUGAGGUGCGAAAGCGUGGGGAGCAAACAGGAUUAGAUACCCGCGUAGUCCCUGUCUCUUAUAC
rnacentral:rRNA from 1 species